rnacentral:rRNA from 1 species
UACGUAGGGGGCUAGCGUCGUCCGGAUUUAUUGGGCGUAAAGAGCGUGUAGGCGGCCAGGUAGGUCUGCUGUGAAAACUCGAGGCUCAACCUCGAGACGUCGGCGGAAACCAUCUGGCUAGAGUCCGGAAGAGGAGAGUGGAAUUCCUGGUGUAGCGGUGAAAUGCGCAGAUAUCAGGAGGAACACCGGUGGCGAAGGCGGGUCUCUGGGCCGAUACUGACGCUGAGGAGCGAAAGCGUGGGGAGCGAACAGG